rnacentral:rRNA from 1 species
UACGUAGGGGCAAGCGUUGUCCGGAAUCAUUGGGCGUAAAGAGCGUGUAGGCGGCUCGGUAAGUCCGCUGUGAAAGUCCAGGGCUCAACCCUGGAAUGCCGGUGGAAACUGUCGGGCUAGAGUCCGGAAGAGGCGAGUGGAAUUCCUGGUGUAGCGGUGAAAUGCGCAGAUAUCAGGAGGAACACCAAUGGCGAAGGCAGCUCGCUGGGACGGUACUGACGCUGAGACGCGAAAGCGUGGGGAGCAAACAGG